AUUGGACAUAGAAAUUUUAGAUUACAAGGUGAACGUCCAAUGGGAUUAGUGCAAACGGGAAAACAAUACCCAUGCAAGGCACAACCCCUAACUGACUAGAUAACAAAAAGAAAAAGAAAGAAAAAAGAUCUAUUUACAGUAAAUAUAUACACAAUGCAGUUUAGGAACGAUGGCAGGAGCAGUCGCCUGUGAGUGACCAAGUGCAUGGCAUAUCCACAUUAAAAGUAUCCUUGACCAGGUUGGAGUAUGUCGCAUGCAGGAAGCGUUU